UGGGAAGUUUAGGCUUUUGGUUUCACUUCCUGCUCUGUCAGUGGCUGUUAGGUUGGUCAGCCACAGUGACAGCAACCUCACAACCAUAACAGGUUUCUAGAGAACCUGGUAGAAGUCUCUAUGAAGACAAAUUACAGAGCACAGGGCCAUAUAGGGCUGUGCUUGGGCUCCCCCUAACCCUUAAGAUGGGGAUCCCUGUGCUCUGUGCCCUCUUGCUGAUGGCUGCCUCCCAAGCCCCGACCAGGACCCAUGCUGGCUCGCACUCGCUGCGGUAUUUCUACAUCAUUGUUUCCUGGCCCGACCUCGUGGAGCCCCGGUACAUGGAAGUCGGCUACGUUGACGACACACAGUUCGUGCGCUUCGACAGCGACCUGGAGAAUCCGAGAUAUGAGCCGCGGGCGCCGUGGAUGGAGCAGGAGGGGCCAGAGUAUUGGGAGAGGGAGACACGGGGAGCCAAAGACUGGGAACAGAUUUUCCGAGUUGACCUGAGGACCCUACUAGGCUACUACAACCAGAGUGAGGGCAUCUCUCACAUCAUUCAGAGUAUGGUCGGCUGUCACGUGGGGUCGGACGGGCGCCUCCUCCGCGGGUACAGUCAGGACGCCUAUGAUGGCGAUGAUUACAUCGCCCUGAACGAGGACCUGAGGACGUGGACUGCGGCUGACACAGCCACACAGAUCACCAGGCGCAAGUGGGACCUGGCUGGUGUUGCAGAGCAUGAAAGGGCCUACCUGGAGGACGAGUGUGUGCAGUGGCUCCGCAGAUACCUGGAGAACAGGAAGGAGCAGCUGCUGCGCACAGACCCUCCAAAGGCACAUGUGACCCAUCACUCCAACCCUGAAGGUAAAACCACCCUGAGGUGCUGGGCCCUGGGCUUCUACCCCGCUGACAUCACCCUGACCUGGAAGAGGGAUGAGGAGGAACUGACCCAGGACAUGGAGAUGGUGGAGACCAGACCUGCAGGAGACGGAACCUUCCAGAAGUGGGCAGCUGUGGAGGUGCCUAUUGGAGAGGAGCAGAGAUACACAUGCCAUGUGGAGCAUGAGGGACUGUCUGAGCCCCUCACCCUGAGAUGGAAGCCUCCUCAGUCCACUGUCCCCAGCAUGGCAGUCAUUGCUGUUCUGGUUCUCCUUGGAGCUGUGACCAUCAUUGGAGCUGUGGUGGCUGUUGUGAGGAAGAGGAGGAGAAACACAGGUAGGAAGGGGCAGGGUGUGAGUUCUCUCUCAGCCCCUUUUAGCAGUGUGCUCUGCUCAUGGAAACACAUCCACACCCUCAUUG